GGGUGCCUGAAGCUUUCCGGUUUCAGGUUAACUCUGAGGUCUGGAAAGAUGAAGCCCCAGGAGAUAUUUCUAUCAAUCCUAGGGCUGCCACUCCGAGCCUCAACAACUCGGAUGGUAGUGGAUUUGCCCCUAUAUUUCCAGACAUCUGUUAUCACU
rnacentral:antisense_RNA from 1 species